UACGUAGGUGGCAAGCGUUGUCCGGAUUUACUGGGCGUAAAGGGCGUGCAGGCGGUUUGUUAAGUUCAGGGUGAAAGCUCCCGGCUCAACUGGGAGAGGUCCUUGGAUACUGGCAGACUUGAGGAGGGUAGAGGAGAGUGGAAUUCCCGGUGUAGUGGUGAUAUGCGUAGAUAUCGGGAGGAACACCAGUGGCGAAGGCGGCUCUCUGGGCCCUACCUGACGCUGAGACGCGAAAACGUGGGGAGCGAACCGG
rnacentral:rRNA from 1 species